GAAUACUCGCCAUAUUCAUAAUGCCAUAAUUCAUCAGCACCAGGACAAAAAGAUGAAUGGAAUACCACCCAAAGCAGAAGACAGCAAAGUAUAUUCCAAAGAGGGUGGCAAAUGCAUGGCGAACAGCAGAGCUGGCAUGACUGGGACCCAGGUAAAUACGAAACCAAAAGGCAGCCAAAAGGGCAAAUAGUUGACAGGCUACAAAAUUUAUCUGAUCCAGCGGGAUGCCGAGCAGCGCGCUCAGCGGGUGUAGCAAAGUGGAGCCGGUGGUGCGAUGCGGGGCUGCGGGCGCCUCGGCCAUGCCGCAUCCCCAGCGGCAGUGACAACGAGCCCGGAGGCACCGCGCCGUCCGCCCGCCGACACCGCCCCGCGCCGCGCCGCCCGCCAGGCCGCAGGGGGCGCUCGGCAGGGCGGGGCCGCCCGAACGGCCGCCCUAACGGCGGGACCGGCGGGGGGUGGGCGGGAGGCAGCGCGGCGCCGGCGGCGAC
rnacentral:lncRNA from 1 species